rnacentral:tRNA from 1 species
CGAUUUAGCUCAGUUGGUAGAGCAGCUCACUCGUAACGAGCAGGUCGCAGGUUCGAUUCCUACAAUCGGC